UAUGCCAGCAUGCAGGCUCGUGGGAUGAGAGCCUUGAAAGAUAGUCCUACAACCAUAAGUGGCGAGAAUACUUACGCCAUGGCUGCUUAAUCUGACCCAAGGUUAGAUUUGCUUAUCCGCUGAUAAGAUCGGUGGAGGCCAUCAUUGCCCGGUGCUCUGUUUAGCGGUGCCGGAACCGCAGUGUCGAAAGCAUAAACUGGGCUUCGUUGUUGUUGCGCAACGUUGUCGAGAUAAAAGUAACUAAGGAAUUGUUUAGGCCGUUGCCUGGCUUGCAAGACCCGACAAUUAAAGGCAACUAAGCAUGUAGAACGUACACGUUCAAUUUCUCUGGACCAGGGUUCGAUUCCCUGCAGCUCCACUC
rnacentral:tmRNA from 1 species